CAGUAGCCGCGGGAAAACGGAGGGGGCUAGCGUUGUUCGGAAUUACUGGGCGUAAAGCGUGCGCAGGCGGUUUGUUAAGACAGAUGUGAAAUCCCCGGGCUCAACCUGGGAACUGCAUUUGUGACUGGCAAGCUAGAGUGUGGCAGAGGGGGGUGGAAUUCCGCGUGUAGCAGUGAAAUGCGUAGAUAUGCGGAGGAACACCGAUGGCGAAGGCAGCCCCCUGGGCCAACACUGCCGCUCAUGCACGAAAGCGUGGGGAGCAAACAGGAUUAGAUACCCGAGUAGUCCCUGUCUCUUAUAA
rnacentral:rRNA from 1 species